rnacentral:rRNA from 1 species
GAUGAACGCUGGCGGCGUGCCUAAUACAUGCAAGUCGAGCGAACGGACGAGAAGCUUGCUUCUCUGAUGUUAGCGGCGGGCGGGUGAGUAACACGUGGAUAACCUACCUAUAAGACUGGGAUAACUUCGGGAAACCGGAGCUAAUACCGGAUGAUAUUUUGAACCGCAUGGUUCAAAAGUGAAAGACGGUCUUGCUGUCACUUAUAGAUGGAUCCGCGCUGCAUUAGCUAGUUGGUAAGGUAACGGCUUACCAAGGCAACGAUGCAUAGCCGACCUGAGAGGGUGAUCGGCCACACUGGAACUGAGACACGGUCCAGACUCCUACGGGAGGCAGCAGUAGGGAAUCUUCCGCAAUGGGCGAAAGCCUGACGGAGCAACGCCGCGUGAGUGAUGAAGGUCUUCGGAUCGUAAAACUCUGUUAUUAGGGAAGAACAUAUGUGUAAGUAACUGUGCACAUCUCGACGGUACCUAAUCAGAAAGCCACGGCUAACUACGUG